ACAGUCGUGGCCGAGUGGUUCUGGCGAUGGACAAGUAAUCCAUUGGGGUCUUCCCGUACAGGUUCGAAUCCUGGCGACUGCG
rnacentral:tRNA from 2 species